ensembl:lincRNA
GAAAUAAAAAUCAUCAAGAUGAACAGAAGUCAGAUGUCACCAGCCCCCAUAUACAGUCAUCAUCCCUCAUCCAGUUAAAACAGUUCUCACACAAGAAGGCCUAACUCAAAAAGAGGCUGUGUUCUCAUGAGCUUCCCUUGCUUCUGAAACACUUCCAAACAUCAUCUUACAUUUCCUGAAGAAGAUGAUGCAUCGACCAGUGGCACAGGAUGAAGAGGGUGAUCCGGAAGAGUCUUUUGAACUACUUGGCUGCGGUGUUUAAACAACCACCAGGAAAUUUUGAUGACCGUUCUCUCCGGAGCUCCUGUCUUUCCCCAGAGAAACAAAAGCAUCGAAACUACAAAAAUAAAGUGUUAUUUGGCUGGAAUGAGGUCUCAUGGUUGUUUAUGCGGUGGCUCGCUGCUCAAGACAGGGCUCCGCCGUCUCCGCCAUCUUCUGAGCACUCCACGCUGCCACCUUCACGUUUCUCUACUGGCCUCCAAGUACUCCAAAAUCUUUCGGAUCUGUGCCCCUACCCCUGUUUUUAGCAUGUUUGGGGACUCCAGGUCCCUGAAGGUUUCUGGCCUGAAAUCCACCUCCCCAGCCUCAUGGAUUCUGCUCUAG